rnacentral:misc_RNA from 1 species
AGGUGAACCUGCGGAAGGAUCAUUACAAGUAAAUACGUGUUCUUCGGAAUGUGCAUUUUCAAACCCCUCUGUGUACCUUACCUGUUGCUUCCGUGCCGCGUGGAUUUCGGUCCCCUCCCUUGUUGGAGUGUCGGCACGGCUAACAAAAUUCUUGCAUUUCAUGUCAUCUGUCUGAACUGUUAAAUACAAAAAGUUAAAACUUUCAACAACGGAUCUCUUGGUUCUCG